GUUGUCUUGGUAACGUCUAAUGUGAUAUCUGUUAUUUUGAUCGCGGUUCUGAGUGGAAUCUUAUGUAAAAAACAUCAAGAAGGUUCUGUCAAUGGUCACCAAGACAACUCAAACCAUGAGGUUGAGGAAACAGACGUUUUGAACUAUGCGACUGUGGAAUUUGCACAGAAACCCCCUUCCAGAGCCCCCAGAGUCGAGGAGAGUCAAGAUAUUUAUUCACAGGUUAAAGUACGAUAGUCAGUAUAAGUGAAGACAUUUUCUGUUUUAUUGCAUUUAAUCUUAUUUUACUUUGUGGUACUUUGUGUUUCUCAUUUCACUGGAUCUUCUGAACAGAAGCCAGUGCAGCAAA